rnacentral:lncRNA from 1 species
CCGGUGCCUGUUCAGGGCUUCACGUGGAUCUGAGCAUCAUGCGGACACGGUGGCGUCUGCCCUCAGGGACACUGCACAUCCAUCCUCGUACCACGAACCCAGCUCAAGUGCAGGAAAGCUGCCAAUCUGCACACGUAGAAACGCUGGCGGGAAACCGACUGCCCUUCUCAAGAAUCAUCAUGGAUGUUUGCAACCACAUCUCAACACACAACCAGCUUUCACGAUUGCCAAGUCCUGGGCGGGGUAUCACAGCACUGUCUAGAUUUGGCCUGUGCCACCAACAGAAGCCUUGGAUUAAACCAGAAUCAAUAGUAAUAAAUAGCUCUCUAAACCAAAUAUGUUGAAAUCACUAAUGCACUCAUAUUUUUACGAUUAUAGCAUUUUAAAGUAACCAACCCAAUACCGAUCUCUACUUAUAGAGAAAACACCUAUUAGGCACACUUAUAGAAAAAUCCUCUGUGCCUUGUAUAUUCACACAGCACGUGUGAUCACUCAAAGGAACUGAAUGCCUGGAGGGUGAAC